rnacentral:rRNA from 1 species
CUGCUGCCUUCCGUAGGAGUUUGGGCCGUGUCUCAGUCCCAAUGUGGCCGUUCACCCUCUCAGGCCGGCUACUGAUCGUUGCCUUGGUAGGCCAUUACCCCACCAACUAGCUAAUCAGACGCGGAACCAUCGUAUACCACCAGAGUUUUUCACACCGCUUCAUGCGAAGCUGUGCGCUUAUGCGGUAUUAGCACCUAUUUCUAAGUGUUAUCCCCCAGUAUACAGCAGAUUUUCCACGCGUUACUCACCCGUCCG